rnacentral:lncRNA from 1 species
GUUUUUAAUUUUCCCUUUUUUACAGCCCAGAGUUAAAUAGAAGACAUGUUCAGGAUCUGAUUGCCAAAAGAGCAAUAAUCCCCAAUCCAUCAGAUCAAGGCUGGAAGAAAAAUGGAGGGGAAUAGCACCUGCAAGACAGCACCAGCAGGCAGAAGAUACCUGAUUGUUCAGUCUGGAUUCCCU